UCCCUGGGGGCUCGGAUGGUAAAGAAUCUGCCUUCUAUGCAGGAGACCCGGGUUUGAUCCCUGGCUUGGGAU
rnacentral:tRNA from 1 species